AGGAUAAACGCUGGCGGCGUGCAUGAGACAUGCAAGUCAUACGGGCGAGCUUGCUCGCUAGUGGCGGACGGCUGAGUAACGCGUAGGUGACCUACCCGAAGUGGGGAAUAACUGCCCGAAAGGGUGGCUAAUACCGCAUGUGGUGGUUCGUUCAUUCGAACCACCAAAGCAGCAAUGCGCUUCGGGAGGGGCCUGCGUCCGAUUAGCUCGUUGGUGGGGUAACGCUCACCAAGGCGACGAUCGGUAGGUGGUCUGAGAGGACGAUCACCCAGACUGGGACUGAGACACGGCCCAGACUCCUACGGGAGGCAGCAGUGGGGAAUAUUGCGCAAUGGGCGAAAGCCUGACGCAGCGACGCCGCGUGUGGGAUGACGGCCUUCGGGUUGUAACCACUGUCGCGAGGGACGAAUGCCCCGCGAAGGGGAGUGACGGUACCUCGAAAGGAAGCACCGGCUAACUCUGUGCCAGCAGCCGC
rnacentral:rRNA from 1 species